AUUCUACCCAUGUGGGGAAGGAUGAGAAGCUUCGACCAAGGUUCGAUUCGAGCGCAGCGAGAAAGCGUUGCCGCAGGCAACGACCCGAAGGGCGAAGCGCGCAGCGCUGAGUCAUCCUUCCCCCACCACCA
rnacentral:sRNA from 3 species